GCAAGGGCAAAAGGAUUUAGCUAGAACCCUAAACUGAUCGAAUCGAAGCAACUCAACAAUGGAGAUGCAAAGCGAAUUCGAUCGUCUCCUUUUCUUCGAACACGCUCGGAAGAGUGCUGAAACCGCCUAUGCUCAGAAUCCCCUAGAUGCUGAUAACUUGACGAGGUGGGGAGGUGCAUUGCUGGAAUUAUCACAGUUUCAGCCCGUAGCUGAAUCGAAACAAAUGAUUUCUGAUGCAACAUCAAAGUUGGAGGAGGCAUUGACAGUGAACCCUGAAAAGCAUGAUGCGCUUUGGUGUUUGGGAAAUGCUCAUACAUCACAUGCUUUUUUAACUCCUGAUAUGGAUGAGGCUAAGGUUUACUUUGAAAAAGCAACUCAGUGCUUUCAACAGGCAUUUGAUGCGGAUCCCUCAAAUGACCUUUACCGCAAAUCUCUGGAAGUUACUGCUAAGGCUCCAGAAUUGCACAUGGAAAUCCACAGACAUGGUCCCAUGCAACAACCUAUGGCAGCAGAACCUUCAACAUCGACAAGCACAAAGAGUUCAAAAAAGAAGAAGAGCAGUGAUCUCAAGUAUGACAUUUUUGGGUGGGUCAUACUUGCCGUUGGCAUUGUUGCAUGGGUGGGAUUUGCAAAAUCUAAUAUGCCUCCACCACCACCACCGCAUCCACAGUGAAACCCAUAAUACAGCUUAGCUUUACUGGUGAAGAUACUCUAUUAGAGUUUUUCCUUUUGCAUAAACAGGACCCUAGGCAUUAAUGCCUGUCAUUUAGCUAGUUACUGAAACUUUAUAACUUUCUGGUGAAAACUUUGAAGACUUUUUUUCUGUUGUAAUAGAUUAAAUAAGACUUUUUUUCUGUUGUGAUAGAUCAAAUAAGACUUUUUCUUUUAAUCUCGG
rnacentral:misc_RNA from 1 species